rnacentral:rRNA from 1 species
ACGCUCGACACCUACGGCAGGCAGCAGUGGGGAAUAUUGCACAAUGGGGGAAACCCUGAUGCAGCGACGCCGCGUGGAGGAAGAAGGUCUUCGGAUUGUAAACUCCUGUUGUUGGGGAAAAAGAGGAUGGUACCCAACAAGGAAGUGACGGCUAACUACGUGCCAGCAGCCGCGGUAAUCUGAGCGGGCUGGCAAGGC